rnacentral:rRNA from 1 species
AUUGAACGCUGGCGGCAGGCUUAACACAUGCAAGUCGCGCGAGCGGCGGACGGGUGAGUAAUGUCUGGGAAACUGCCUGAUGGAGGGGGAUAACUACUGGACACGGUAGCUACUACCGCAUACCAUCCGAUUUGCCCAGAUGGGAUUAGCUAGUAGGUGGGGUAAUGGCUCACCUAGGCGACGAUCCCUAGCGGGUCUGAGAGGAUGACCAGCCAGACUGGAACUGAGACACGGUCCAGAGUCCUACGGGAGGCAGCAGGGGGGAAGAUUGCAAAAUGGGCGCAAGCCUGAUGCAGCGAGGCCGCGUGUGUGAAGAAGGCCUUCGGGUUGGAAAGCACUUUCAGCGGGGAGGCGUUAAUCGCAGAAGAAGCACCGGCUAACUCCGUGCCAGCAGCCGCGGUAAUAC